rnacentral:rRNA from 1 species
UACCAGCACCCCGAGUGGUCGGGACGUUUUAUUGGGCCUAAAGCAUCCGUAGCCGGUUCUACAAGUCUUCCGUUAAAUCCAACUGCUUAACAGGUGGGCUGCGGAAGAUACUAUAGAGCUAGGAGGCGGGAGAGGCAAGCGGUACUCGAUGGGUAGGGGUAAAAUCCGUUGAUCCAUUGAAGAACACCAGUGGCGAAGGCGGC